CCUACGGGAGGCAGCAGUGAGGAAUAUUGGUCAAUGGGCGAGAGCCUGAACCAGCCAAGUCGCGUGAGGGAGUACUGCCCUAUGGGUUGUAAACCUCUUUUGUCGGGGAGCAAAAGCCGGACGUGUCCGGCUGUGAGAGUACCCGAAGAAACAGCAUCGGCUAACUCCGUGCCAGCAGCCGCGGUAAUACGGAGGAUGCGAGCGUUAUCCGGAUUUAUUGGGUUUAAAGGGUGCGCAGGCGGAUUUUUAAGUCAGCGGUAAAAUCGUGGGGCUCAACCCCAUCCAGCCGUUGACACUGGGGAUCUAGAGUGUGCGAGAGGUAUGCGGAAUGCGUGGUGUAGCGGUGAAAUGCAUAGACAGCACGCAGAACCCCGAUUGCGAAGGCAGCAUACCGGUGCACAACUGACGCUCAGGCACGAAAGCGUGGGUAUCGAACAGGAUUAGAUACCCGGGUAGUC
rnacentral:rRNA from 1 species